rnacentral:piRNA from 1 species
UGCGAAGUCCUUGUUGAGGUUUUGCUUC